AUGAGCUUGAAAGCAUAAGCCGUGAUUUUUUACAGGGAGAAAAUGAAGACAAGAAGAAGAUUAUCUCCUUUCGUGGCAGACCUUGUAGAAAUAUAGGAAUUGUGGCGGGUUGGGUAUUAAAAACUUGACAUACCAAAGUAAAUCUUUCAUUUGAAAACUUUGUUGGGCUUUGGUUACCAACCUUAAGACUUUAUGGGUUCAAGUUCUCAAAUCUAAAUACAAAUGUGGAGUUGGUGUCACACUUGAUAUCAAAAGAAGAAGUGGAGCAUUUAUAACUUGGAAAAGCAUUCUCAAGGUUUGGAACUCCUUUCAACAUAGUUUAGGAAAGUUUAUUGCUUCUGGGAGUCACAUUCUUUCUGGUUUGAUCGUUGGCUUCCCACCAAAACUCCUCUUAUUGACUUAGUGGAACAUGGCAAAGAGUUCAUAGAUAUUAAUGAAAGUGUAAGGGAUCAUGUCCUUUCUUCGGGAACUUGGGAUGUGUACAAAAUGAGACCCUUGCUUCUUAACCAUAUUGUGAACCUCAUUGAAUGGAAGAUAACAGAGAACUAGUUUGGUGAGCAAUAUGGAGACAAAAGAUCACAGAGAAGAUCAAAACUAUAUUCUAGUUGAUGGAGCAUGAUAGAGUUCAUACAAUCACACAACGUUUGUGGAGAGGUUUAAUAGAAGAUAUACCUUACCCCUUUAGAUGUAUGGCUUUGGAAGACACUAUCCACCUUUUUUGUGACUGUACUCCUACCAAGCAUUGGUGGAAUGAGUAUGUGCACCAAGAUAUGUUGGAUAUAUUUUUUUCUUUAGAUAAGAGGGACUGGUUAUCCUAGAAUAUGAAAGCUUGUGUGGGUAACUCAUCUACUAUGAUUGUGCCCUAGAACACUUUAUUUGCUUACAUUUGUUGGAAUAUUUGGAUAGAUGCAGGGUUCUCUUUCAAGGUUGUACCGAUGUGAUUUAGGAGGAUCCAUACUUCUUUUUAUUCAAUGUUGUUGCCGACGUUAAAUUGUCUAGUAAUUUUGACUUACUUCCUAGAGAUAGAAAUGUUGUGCUCUAAAAUCCUUUGAAUGAUGUUGCUAUCAUACUUGAAAUCGAUGACCCAAUCCUUAAGAAUGGCA